UGGGGAAUAUUGCACAAUGGAGGGAACUCUGAUGCAGCGACGCCGCGUGAACGAAGAAGGCUUUCGAGUCGUAAAGUUCUUUUAUAUGGGAAGAUAAUGACGGUACCAUAAGAAAAAGCCCCGGCUAACUACGUGCCAGCAGCCGCGGUAAUACGUAGGGGGCUAGCGUUGUCCGGAAUCACUGGGCGUAAAGGGUUCGCAGGCGGAAAUGCAAGUCAGAUGUAAAAGGCAGUAGCUUAACUACUGUAAGCAUUUGAAACUGCAUAUCUUGAGAAGAGUAGAGGUAAGUGGAAUUUUUAGUGUAGCGGUGAAAUGCGUAGAUAUUACAAAGAAUACCGCUGGCGAAUGCGACUUACUGGGCUCAUUCUGACGCUGAGGAACGAAAGCGUGGGUAGCAAACAGG
rnacentral:rRNA from 1 species